rnacentral:lncRNA from 1 species
GUGAAUUCAUUUUAUUAAGUCGAUCAAGUAGAUUGAUUAUAUUUAUGUUUAGCGCCAUCUGGAGGCUACUAAUUUCGUGUAAAGAAAUGGCACCCUUUUUGGUUUCCAGUGGAUGAAAUCCGUUGAUAUUGGAGGCAUCCUUGUGUAAUAUGGAAGUUAGAUGCACUUUAAGAAGGCAGAAUGAAGUUUUUACGGAGCAUUUGGAGCAACGUGUAUUGGAACAAUAAAGAAACGACCAAUAAACAAAGUCAAAGAUGCUUCCGCUA